UACAGAGGUCCCAAGCGUUGUUCGGAUUCAUUGGGCGUAAAGGGUGCGUAGGCGGCGCGGUAAGUCGGGUGUGAAAUCUCGGAGCUUAACUCCGAAACUGCAUUCGAUACUGCCGUGCUUGAGGACUGGAGAGGAGACUGGAAUUUACGGUGUAGCGGUGAAAUGCGUAGAUAUCAGGAGGAACACCGGUGGCGAAGGCGGGUCUCUGGGCCGAUACUGACGCUGAGGAGCGAAAGCAUGGGUAGCGAACAGG
rnacentral:rRNA from 1 species